rnacentral:rRNA from 1 species
CCUACGGGGGGCAGCAGUGAGGAAUAUUGGUCAAUGGACGAGAGUCUGAACCAGCCAAGUAGCGUGAAGGAUGACUGCCCUAUGGGUUGUAAACUUCUUUUAUAUGGGAAUAAAACGUUCCACGUGUGGGAUUUUGUAUGUACCAUAUGAAUAAGGAUCGGCUAACUCCGUGCCAGCAGCCGCGGUAAUACGGAGGAUCCGAGCGUUAUCCGGAUUUAUUGGGUUUAAAGGGAGCGUAGGUGGAUUGUUAAGUCAGUUGUGAAAGUUUGCGGCUCAACCGUAAAAUUGCAGUUGAAACUGGCAGUCUUGAUUACAGUAGAGGUGGGCGGAAUUCGUGGUGUAGCGGUGAAAUGCUUAGAUAUCACGAAGAACUCCGAUUGCGAAGGCAGUUCACUGGACUGCAACUGACACUGAGGCUCGAAAGUGUGGGUAUCAAACAGGAUUAGAUACCCCAGUAGUC